UUGUUGGAGGAAGUGUGUCUAUGAUGGUUUGCAUAUGCAUGGCCCAGGGAGUGACACUAUUAGAAGGUGUGGCCUUGUUGGAGGAAGUGUGUCUAUGAUGGUUUGCAUAUGCAUGGCCCAGGGAGUGACACUAUUAGAAGGUGUGGCCUUGUUGGAGGAAGUGUGUCUAUGAUGGUUUGCAUAUGCAUGGCCCAGGGAGUGACACUAUUAGAAGGUGUGGCCUUGUUGGAGGAAGUGUGUCUAUGAUGGUUUGCAUAUGCAUGGCCCAGGGAGUGACACUAUUAGAAGGUGUGGCCUUGUUGGAGGAAGUGUGUCUAUGAUGGUUUGCAUAUGCAUGGCCCAGGGAGUGACACUAUUAGAAGGUGUGGCCUUGUUGGAGGAAGUGUGUCUAUGAUGGUUUGCAUAUGCAUGGCCCAGGGAGUGACACUAUUAGAAGGUGUGGCCUUGUUGGAGGAAGUGUGUCUAUGAUGGUUUGCAUAUGCAUGGCCCAGGGAGUGACACUAUUAGAAGGUGUGGCCUUGUUGGAGGAAGUGUGUCUAUGAUGGUUUGCAUAUGCAUGGCCCAGGGAGUGACACUAUUAGAAGGUGUGGCCUUGUUGGAGGAAGUGUGUCUAUGAUGGUUUGCAUAUGCAUGGCCCAGGGAGUGACACUAUUAGAAGGUGUGGCCUUGUUGGAGGAAGUGUGUCUAUGAUGGUUUGCAUAUGCAUGGCCCAGGGAGUGACACUAUUAGAAGGUGUGGCCUUGUUGGAGGAAGUGUGUCUAUGAUGGUUUGCAUAUGCAUGGCCCAGGGAGUGACACUAUUAGAAGGUGUGGCCUUGUUGGAGGAAGUGUGUCUAUGAUGGUUUGCAUAUGCAUGGCCCAGGGAGUGACACUAUUAGAAGGUGUGGCCUUGUUGGAGGAAGUGUGUCUAUGAUGGUUUGCAUAUGCAUGGCCCAGGGAGUGACACUAUUAGAAGGUGUGGCCUUGUUGGAGGAAGUGUGUCUAUGAUGGUUUGCAUAUGCAUGGCCCAGGGAGUGACACUAUUAGAAGGUGUGGCCUUGUUGGAGGAAGUGUGUCUAUGAUGGUUUGCAUAUGCAUGGCCCAGGGAGUGACACUAUUAGAAGGUGUGGCCUUGUUGGAGGAAGUGUGUCUAUGAUGGUUUGCAUAUGCAUGGCCCAGGGAGUGACACUAUUAGAAGGUGUGGCCUUGUUGGAGGAAGUGUGUCUAUGAUGGUUUGCAUAUGCAUGGCCCAGGGAGUGACACUAUUAGAAGGUGUGGCCUUGUUGGAGGAAGUGUGUCUAUGAUGGUUUGCAUAUGCAUGGCCCAGGGAGUGACACUAUUAGAAGGUGUGGCCUUGUUGGAGGAAGUGUGUCUAUGAUGGUUUGCAUAUGCAUGGCCCAGGGAGUGACACUAUUAGAAGGUGUGGCCUUGUUGGAGGAAGUGUGUCUAUGAUGGUUUGCAUAUGCAUGGCCCAGGGAGUGACACUAUUAGAAGGUGUGGCCUUGUUGGAGGAAGUGUGUCUAUGAUGGUUUGCAUAUGCAUGGCCCAGGGAGUGACACUAUUAGAAGGUGUGGCCUUGUUGGAGGAAGUGUGUCUAUGAUGGUUUGCAUAUGCAUGGCCCAGGGAGUGACACUAUUAGAAGGUGUGGCCUUGUUGGAGGAAGUGUGUCUAUGAUGGUUUGCAUAUGCAUGGCCCAGGGAGUGACACUAUUAGAAGGUGUGGCCUUGUUGGAGGAAGUGUGUCUAUGAUGGUUUGCAUAUGCAUGGCCCAGGGAGUGACACUAUUAGAAGGUGUGGCCUUGUUGGAGGAAGUGUGUCUAUGAUGGUUUGCAUAUGCAUGGCCCAGGGAGUGACACUAUUAGAAGGUGUGGCCUUGUUGGAGGAAGUGUGUCUAUGAUGGUUUGCAUAUGCAUGGCCCAGGGAGUGACACUAUUAGAAGGUGUGGCCUUGUUGGAGGAAGUGUGUCUAUGAUGGUUUGCAUAUGCAUGGCCCAGGGAGUGACACUAUUAGAAGGUGUGGCCUUGUUGGAGGAAGUGUGUCUAUGAUGGUUUGCAUAUGCAUGGCCCAGGGAGUGACACUAUUAGAAGGUGUGGCCUUGUUGGAGGAAGUGUGUCUAUGAUGGUUUGCAUAUGCAUGGCCCAGGGAGUGACACUAUUAGAAGGUGUGGCCUUGUUGGAGGAAGUGUGUCUAUGAUGGUUUGCAUAUGCAUGGCCCAGGGAGUGACACUAUUAGAAGGUGUGGCCUUGUUGGAGGAAGUGUGUCUAUGAUGGUUUGCAUAUGCAUGGCCCAGGGAGUGACACUAUUAGAAGGUGUGGCCUUGUUGGAGGAAGUGUGUCUAUGAUGGUUUGCAUAUGCAUGGCCCAGGGAGUGACACUAUUAGAAGGUGUGGCCUUGUUGGAGGAAGUGUGUCUAUGAUGGUUUGCAUAUGCAUGGCCCAGGGAGUGACACUAUUAGAAGGUGUGGCCUUGUUGGAGGAAGUGUGUCUAUGAUGGUUUGCAUAUGCAUGGCCCAGGGAGUGACACUAUUAGAAGGUGUGGCCUUGUUGGAGGAAGUGUGUCUAUGAUGGUUUGCAUAUGCAUGGCCCAGGGAGUGACACUAUUAGAAGGUGUGGCCUUGUUGGAGGAAGUGUGUCUAUGAUGGUUUGCAUAUGCAUGGUCCAGGGAGUGACACUAUUAGAAGGUGUGGCCUUGUUGGAGGAAGUGUGUCUAUGAUGGUUUGCAUAUGCAUGGUCCAGGGAGUGACACUAUUAGAAGGUGUGGCCUUGUUGGAGGAAGUGUGUCUAUGAUGGUUUGCAUAUGCAUGGCCCAGGGAGUGACACUAUUAGAAGGUGUGGCCUUGUUGGAGGAAGUGUGUCUAUGAUGGUUUGCAUAUGCAUGGCCCAGGGAGUGACACUAUUAGAAGGUGUGGCCUUGUUGGAGGAAGUGUGUCUAUGAUGGUUUGCAUAUGCAUGGCCCAGGGAGUGACACUAUUAGAAGGUGUGGCCUUGUUGGAGGAAGUGUGUCUAUGAUGGUUUGCAUAUGCAUGGCCCAGGGAGUGACACUAUUAGAAGGUGUGGCCUUGUUGGAGGAAGUGUGUCUAUGAUGGUUUGCAUAUGCAUGGCCCAGGGAGUGACACUAUUAGAAGGUGUGGCCUUGUUGGAGGAAGUGUGUCUAUGAUGGUUUGCAUAUGCAUGGCCCAGGGAGUGACACUAUUAGAAGGUGUGGCCUUGUUGGAGGAAGUGUGUCUAUGAUGGUUUGCAUAUGCAUGGCCCAGGGAGUGACACUAUUAGAAGGUGUGGCCUUGUUGGAGGAAGUGUGUCUAUGAUGGUUUGCAUAUGCAUGGCCCAGGGAGUGACACUAUUAGAAGGUGUGGCCUUGUUGGAGGAAGUGUGUCUAUGAUGGUUUGCAUAUGCAUGGUCCAGGGAGUGACACUAUUAGAAGGUGUGGCCUUGUUGGAGGAAGUGUGUCUAUGAUGGUUUGCAUAUGCAUGGUCCAGGGAGUGACACUAUUAGAAGGUGUGGCCUUGUUGGAGGAAGUGUGUCUAUGAUGGUUUGCAUAUGCAUGG